AGAUCCCUAUAAGUAAAGGGCAAUGCUCUCUUACAUCACACAAGAGAGUCCUUCACUGACAUAUAUGGCAGAAAGCUCAGCUCCAUCUCAACAGUCCUGUCACAAGCCGGCCGCCUCAUCAGCCCUGAAACUAUUCGGUUUCCCAUUAACUGAGCACCGUGAAAUACUAGCCAAAACUGAGAAUUGUGCUGAAAGCAGGAAAUUCGAGUGCCAUUUUUGCCGGCGAGCCUUUGCCAAUUCACAAGCGCUAGGAGGCCAUCAAAAUGCGCACAAGAGAGAGCGGCAAAGAGCCAGGCGUGUCCAAUACUAUUGUGAUCGGCGCUUGCUUACAGCUGCUCCAGUUCUGAGCACACAUGCUGUGAAAGCAUCAUCAUCUUCCAUUUCUACAGGAGGAUUUACUAGCGUCGGUGUUGCUGCUAAAUUUAGGCCACAAGCAGCUGCAAGUCAUUGUCCGUCAUCGACGACAAGGCCCCUGCUGCUUCCAUCACCUCCUUCUAAGUUAACCUCUCUAAUUUAUGUUAGGCAGCCUUUGCACGUGGGUACUGCUAUGCCAUCGUUUGUUGAAUUUCCUGGUAAAUCGUUGUCUGAUGAGGAUGUAGGGAUUGAUCUUUGUCUCAAACUAACUCCUUCCGUUUAGUCAUAUA
rnacentral:misc_RNA from 1 species